ACAGGCUACAGCUCCUCCAGAGCUGCUGAGGGCCUUUCAGAAGAUGCUCACCCACCCACAUGUGUGAGAACACCCCCCGUCCUUCUCCCUCCCCACCACUCCCUGCUUCACUCUGCUCCCUCUCCUCUCUCUUCUUGUCUAACCUACCCCUCAGCGUGAAUUUCUAAAAGGCAUUCACUAAACACAGCAAAGCUCAUUUUUCAAAUGAAGUCUGGUUUCCUCCCCAUUAUUCGAUCAGAUAAAUAAUAACUGAUGUGGCUUUCUGGAAUGAUCUGGAAAUAUAACAAAAGCUGGCGCUGUCCUCAGUGACAUGGAGCAACAGGAUAAAAUCUUGAAGAGAAAAUUUGACAGGGAAAAACAUUCAGCUCUCCACCAGAUUUUCUAAAUUUAUUCCUAUUCCUUAAGCCGAGCUAAGUCUGUGGCGCUGCAUCCUGUUAGAUGCCAAGGCAUGUAAAAGAAAUUUACAGUUGUGAGAAAAAUAAGAUAGCUGUGUGAGGCAACCAAGGAAGAGCUGAAGCCCGGAGGUCCCCCCCGGAGAGUCUGAGUAAUGAAGAUGAAAAUCACAGAUCAGAAGGAAUCUAAGGAAAUUUAUAAAAGUGCCCCGUGUUAAGUUGUACCUCAAGGCAACGGCAUUAACAACCAUGGCGGCAGCAGUGGGAAGGCAUGAUCUGUAUGGGUUGAAAGAAGGGAGAAAAUUGUGAUGGAGGCAAAACCUGCAUGUGCCAAAGACAGAGGAAAAAUUAACCUGAAUGUGAUAAGCGAAAUACGUGAAACCAACAUGUUCUAUGAUUUUACACACGCAUGGAAUGUCCAGAGACUACAAGUGGGUGGCAUCACAAAGCAAGGUCCAAGGUGGAAAUGAAGGUGAACUGCAGAUUGCCACAAA